UCCCUGCAACAGAUUCCGUGUGACUCCACUACACUCUGGCAAGUCACGACAAUGGCCACCACUCCAUUCUCCGUAACCAACUCCACGUGACCCUGAACGACCCUUGGCACCACUACUCUCCGUAACAAACUCCAGGCGGCUCUGAACAGCCCACUGCCAGGUGGUUACAGGCGUCGCUGUCAAUCGGGUGCCCUCUCCUUCUAUAAAUAAGGACCCUCAGAUACAUUUUUCUCUAAGCUCUAAACUCUAUCUCGAAACUCUGCAAAAAUUUCUGCUCGAGCACUCCAUUUCUG
rnacentral:lncRNA from 1 species